UAACAAUGUUAACUCUACCAAAGCCGAAGGAAUUUCCAGAGAAAUUGCUUUUUAGUGUUUUUGCACCGUAUCUAUUCUAUUCUACGGGUAUCUACCGAAGAUUCACAUGAAAACGAUCAGGAAACGUAAGAAAUCAAGAAGAAAACGGAAAGAUGGCAAAAAAGGAACCCAAAUAAAAAGACUGAAAUAUAAUGAGAGAACACCUUCAAACAAGAAGUAUUAUUAAAGAAUUUGAACAAUAUAAAAAAAGACUAGUGACUCUAGUCAAAAUACGAAAAAAAAAGAACAAGGCGAAAAAGAAAAUAGACUACUUUUGUAUUUUUUGUAGAGAUAAAUAUAUUGAUCCUCCCGUUGAAGACUAAAUUGUGUGCUAUGUGUGCAAAAAAUGGGCUCACGAGAGUUGUACUGACGGACAGUCAACAUCGUUGGGUUUUAAAUGUGAUCUAUGUCGUUAAUAAUGUUGGUUCGUAAUCAACCCACUUGGUGUUCGUAUUUACCCGACUGAUGUCGGGCAAAGCCGAACACUAAGGGUUUUGUUUUUCUUUCAUAUUGUUGCAGUUUAUUAAAAAAAUAUAAAUGAUGAUUAGUGAAUAAGUUAGACAGAUAAGUAAACUUUAUAAUAAAUAAAAAAUAAAAAAUCUGUGAUUAAAUUCCAUUGUUUUAUUUAAGUUUUCCCUUAGGUGUUCGUAUAUCCCCCACUUUCCCCUACUCGUAGAACUCGACAGAGUUCAACGUUGAGUUUCUCGCCGGAUCUUCUCAGUGGGUCGCGAUUCCGAUCCGGUAGUAGAUUCAUUCGCCAAGCAGCUGCUGUUAGGUCUCCUUUGGAGGCUCUCGGGUAGCUGUUAGCAAAUCCCACUGCUCCUGGCUGAGCCUUUGCUCGCUCAUCUGGCCUAGUGAAACUGGAAAGGCCUUCGGGCCACCAGUGAUAAUUCAAUCAUAAAAAAAACUAUCUAUAAGUAGCACAGCAACUAUAUAUAAUACUUAAAUGUUUUUUUUUCUUGAUUCUUGGGUUGACUUAAAAAAGUCAGUUUCAUUCUGAUGAACAAAAAUAUAAUCACCGUUCGUAGCUAACCUUCGUGUAGUAUAAUAUCAGUAGAUAUUCUUAUCUGUCCUCUUUAUGACGCAUCAUAACUAUGUUCACUAUCUAAAUUUAGAUACGUAUGAACGUAUUUUAAUAAGUGAAAACUAAAAUCACGCCAGUAUGCCUAAGUAAACGGGUUAAAUAAGAGUGCUACCAACAAUCCUGUAUUUAAUAGUAUAUUACUUCAAACAGUGUAAUGUGCACAAUCGUGGGAAAAUACCUUAAAGGCCAGUUUGACGCAAAUAGUAAAAUUUUAUCAAGACUUGAUACGGAUUUACAAAGCUGUACCACUCAGCUAACGGCGUUAAAGCUACUUGUGUCAUCGCUUCAGAUACGAAUGUCAGCGAUGCAGACCAUGUACAGAGACACAAUGGAACUUAGAAAACUAAUUGUCGUAAUACAUCCACAUCUUCGGAAGGCAAGGUAGCGAAUUGAACACAGACAUGUAUUAUUCGUCUCUAAAUUUAAAAGUUGUUAUAAAAUAGUCGAAGGAUCUGGGCUGAACAUAACGGUGAAUUGAUGCGAAUGGUCUCAUCAAAUUUCGAAAAGUUGACAACGUAACCUUGCCUCUCUCUGUGAUAAUCAAUGACUUGAACAAACCGAUGUCCCCACAAGAUUUCCCUUGCAAUGUAACUCGAUUUAGCUUGCACUGGCUGACCUGUGGAUUCUAUAACACCUUCAAAAACUACAACUACUUCAAGCCUCGAUUUCAAGAUGUCAUUAGCCGAUAACGUGAAAAACGGACUAUUUUCAUCGAUGACAUGCACAACAGAAAUAGGAAAUAUAAAGGGCACAUUUUCAGCUGAAUUAACUGAUAAGCUCAGUUUUAAUAAUAAUUGUUCAUUCAAUAAAUCGCCGGAGUUGACGCAUCGUAUAAGGUAGGCGUGGACUCUAAUGUCAAUGAUCCUAGAUUUUCUUGUAUUCCCAACGCGGAAUAUCAAGCACAAGUCGCAAUCUCUCUGAUUGAUAAUGGCAUGCUUAGAGAAUAUUAGAGUUUUCGCUCGACUUUUCGGUCUUGUUAAUUUCGCAAAUACGAUACCCACUAUGAACGACUGGGUUAUUGUUCCAAUAAUGCUUUCAAGGCACAUAGCUAGCCACGCUGAUGGACAUUCUAGAGUAAUAGUCCUGCUUCCGUAGCCGAUGGUCGUGUGAAUUUCUAUGCUGAAGAGGAAAAUCGAAGUAAACCCAUAAAUUUCGCUUACGCAUGGCUUCCAUUCUGUAGAGAUAUUUGCGUGAGGCAUGUGGUUCUCUGUUAAAUCCCCGUGCGAAUACAAGAUAACCCACCACACCAUUGUGAAGAAGAGCCAUAUAAAAACAUAAGUGAGAAUGCAGUACACCAAGGUCCACCUCCAACGCGCAUCUAUAAAAGCAGUCACUACAUCUGGAAUCACAUGAUAUUUGGAUUUCUUUGAUUUCUCUAGGUUCACGUGACCCGAUUUAAAAAUCACUCGCUUUAAUACUUUCCUGUGAGUCGAAUUUCUUUGGCAGCAUCUGAAAAAUAGUAUUUUUUAUUUAUUAAAGAUAUAGUUAUUUUUUUAUAAAAUAAUUUGUAAUAAUUCCAUAUUUGACUUUUUUUAAGUUCUUUAAAACUUUGCUAUCUAACUUACUUGUGUAAAUGCGUUCUUUUGUUGGAACUAUUAACUGUCGAUUUUUCUACGUCGCCGUCGUCAAUUUUUGUGACGAGAUUCACAUUUUCGUCGUAACGCAUUUUGAGCAACAAAUUUUUGCAAUAAACAAUUUUAUAAUAACUAAA